AGCAGCCGCGGUAAUUCCAGCUCCAAUAGCGUGUAUUAAAGUUGUUGCAGUUAAAAGCUCGUAGUUGAAUUUCAGGCCUGGCUGGACGGUCCGCCCUUCGGGUGAGUACUGUCUGUGGUCGGGUCCUACCUUCUGGCGAAGCGUCAUGGCCUUAACCGGCCGUGGCGGGGAACCAGGACUUUUACUGUGAAAAAUUAGAGUGUUCAAAGCAGGCAAUCGCUUGGAUACAUUAGCAUGGAAUAAUGGAAUAGGACAAUGGUUCUAUUUGUUGGUUUCUAGGACCGUUGUAAUGAUUAAUAGGGAUAGUUGGGGGCAUUAGUAUUCAAUUGUCAGAGGUGAAAUUCUUGGAUUUAUUGAAGACUAACUACUGCGAAAAGCAUUUGCCAAGGAUGUUUUCAUUAAUCAAGAACGAAAGUUAGGGGAUCGAAGACGAUCAGAUACCGUCGUAGUCUUAACCAUAAACUAUGCCGACUAGGAAUCGGGCGAUGUUGAAAAAUGACGCGCUCGGCACCUCAUGGGA
rnacentral:rRNA from 1 species